rnacentral:lncRNA from 10 species
GGAGGCCUAGUUUUUGAGUCAGAACUCUGGGCUUGGGUCCUGGGUCAAAGUUAUUUAACUCUAGAAGACUUGAGGCAUGUUAUCAACCUCCAGCCUCAGCUUCCUCAAGUGUAAAGUUCUUGUGAGGUGCUUGUGAGGAUUAAAUGAGAUCAUAUAUGUAACGCAUUUGGCCCACUGCUACAUGAAUGAAGCACUUCAUAAAUGUCAGCUAUCUUAUAAGUAGAUUAUCUAAUUCAACAUUUUCCAAAGUGUGUUUCACAAAAUAUUAGUCCUAUAACAUAUUCCAGAAAGAUAGGGGGACCCUGGGUUCAAGCACGUUUGUGAAAUGCAGCACUCACUACCUUCCUCGUGGAUAUUCCUGAGGCACCUUGAAACCUUAAAAGCUCUGAAAAUGUCUGCUGAAAAGAAACCUGUUGAACUCUGUUAAAGCUAUCACAGAGUCCUCUUUUUCAUGAAUUUUUAAUGCAUUCCACAGAACUUCGUUUCCUAACAAACUCCUUGGGGGAAUGUUUAUUUGCUCCAACACCCUCGUUUGAAGAAGAAACUGAGGUUCAGAAAGGUAAAGUGAGCUGGCCUGGGUCUCCCGGCCAAUAAAUAGCAGAGCUGGGGCUUGACUCAAGCUAACUAACUCUUCGACCUACUGCUCUUUUUAUUAAACCACACUGAGAAAACACCUUCGGCUCUUGAUGUGGCCAAUCACUCUCCAAAGGUUAAAGAUUUGUACUAUUGGUUUCACAGCCCUUCAGCCUUUUUCCAGGGCUCUGUAUCCAUAACUUUGACGGUGCAGGGCUCCCUGCUGCUCUGGGGAGGGUCGGAGGAGCUCGGCACCAGAUUGGCUCAGUCUGCCCCAACCCCCGGGUCUGUAAUAUUGCCGCUGCUGGUCCAGGUCCAGGGAACACUCACACGCAGGCAUCAAUUUUCUUCUGAAACCCCACCCACACGCCUGGAAAUCUUCUCUGAAGGAGGGGAAAAGCCCAAUAACCCAGACCCGACAACGUGGCAGCUCUUACACAUUCCUUGACGUGGCCCACAAACCAAACGUUUCUUCAAUUUAGCUGCAGUGAGGCCAGGAAUAAUGACGGCCCCGCCAGCCCAGAGACGUGGCAGCCUAUGCUGCAUGACUCAGUCAGCCUGAGAGGUAGCCUGAACGCUCCGUCCUCUGGGGUCUCUGGGCUGGGGCAGAUGGCUGACGAGGAAGGGCGAUCUGGACUAAGCAGCUCAGCCCCAUCCCCUUCCCCCACCCGUCUCUUCUUCUCCACUGCCUGAGACAAGGCAACUAAAUUUAAAUAGGCAUUUUUCAGAAAACAG